GCCAGUGUGGUAUAGUGGUUUGAGCACUAGACUACAACUAUGGAAACUUGGGUUCAAAUCCCUACUUGGCCA